rnacentral:rRNA from 1 species
UACAGAGGGGGCAAGCGUUGUUCGGAAUUACUGGGCGUAAAGGGCGCGUAGGCGACCUGCUAAGUCGAACGUGAAAUCCCCCGGGCUCAACCCGGGAACUGCGUCCGAUACUGGUUGGCUUGAAUCCGGGAGAGGGAUGCGGAAUUCCAGGUGUAGCGGUGAAAUGCGUAGAUAUUCGGAAGAACACCAGUGGCGAAGGCGGCUCACUGGACCGGUAUUGACGCUGAGGUGCGAAAGCGUGGGGAGCAAACAGG